UACGAAGGGGGCUAGCGUUGCUCGGAAUCACUGGGCGUAAAGGGUGCGUAGGCGGGUCUUUAAGUCAGGGGUGAAAUCCUGGAGCUCAACUCCAGAACUGCCUUUGAUACUGAAGAUCUUGAGUUCGGGAGAGGUGAGUGGAACUGCGAGUGUAGAGGUGAAAUUCGCAGAUAUUCGGAGGAACACCAGUGGCGCAAGCGGCCAACUGGACGGGAAUUGACGCUCAGAUACGAAAGCGUGGGGAGCAAACAGG
rnacentral:rRNA from 1 species